GACGAACGCUGGCGGCGUGCUUAACACAUGCAAGUCGAACGAUGAACCCGGAGCUUGCUCCGGUGGAUUAGUGGCGAACGGGUGAGUAACACGUGAGUAACCUGCCCUUGACUCUGGGAUAACUGCGGGAAACUGUAGCUAAUACCGGAUACGACCCUCGGCGGCAUCGCCAGGGGGUGGAAAGAAUUUCGGUCAAGGAUGGACUCGCGGCCUAUCAGCUAGUUGGUGAGGUAACGGCUCACCAAGGCGACGACGGGUAGCCGGCCUGAGAGGGUGACCCGCCACACUGGGACUGGGAUACGGCCCAGACACCUACGGGAGGCAGCAGUGGGGAAUAUUGCACAAUGGGCGCAAGCCUGAUGCAGCGACGCCGCGUGAGGGAUGACGGCCUUCGGGUUGUAAACCUCUUUCAGCACCGACGAAGCGCAAGUGACGGUAGGUGCAGAAGAAGGACCGGCCAACUACGUGCCAGCCGCCGCGGUAA
rnacentral:rRNA from 1 species